rnacentral:rRNA from 1 species
GGGGGAGCAUAAACUGCAGUCGAGCGAGCUUGCCUAGAUGAUUUCAGUGCUUGCACUAAAUGAAACUAGAUACAAGCGAGCGGCGGACGGGUGAGUAACACGUGGGUAACCUGCCCAAGAGACUGGGAUAACACCUGGAAACAGAUGCUAAUACCGGAUAACAACACUAGACGCAUGUCUAGAGUUUGAAAGAUGGUUCUGCUAUCACUCUUGGAUGGACCUGCGGUGCAUUAGCUAGUUGGUAAGGUAACGGCUUACCAAGGCAAUGAUGCAUAGCCGAGUUGAGAGACUGAUCGGCCACAUUGGGACUGAGACACGGCCCAAACUCCUACGGGAGGCAGCAGUAGGGAAUCUUCCACAAUGGACGAAAGUCUGAUGGAGCAACGCCGCGUGAGUGAAGAAGGGUUUCGGCUCGUAAAGCUCUGUUGGUAGUGAAGAAAGAUAGAGGUAGUAACUGGCCUUUAUUUGACGGUAAUUACUUAGAAAGUCACGGCUAACUACGUGCCAGCAGCCGCGGUAAUACGUAGGUGGCAAGCGUUGUCCGGAUUUAUUGGGCGUAAAGCGAGUGCAGGCGGUUCAAUAAGUCUGAUGUGAAAGCCUUCGGCUCAACCGGAGAAUUGCAUCAGAAACUGUUGAACUUGAGUGCAGAAGAGGAGAGUGGAACUCCAUGUGUAGCGGUGGAAUGCGUAGAUAUAUGGAAGAACACCAGUGGCGAAGGCGGCUCUCUGGUCUGCAACUGACGCUGAGGCU